rnacentral:lncRNA from 10 species
ACAGACCGGACGCCAGCGGAGGGCAGGAGCAAGCAGGACACACUGUGGCUGAGGAGGGGACCCUGGGCUUGUGGGCCUCGGAGAGGCAGAGCAGGGGAGGCAGAUGAGACUGCACACAGCUUUUUGUUUGACAUAUCCUAAGCCCCCUGCACACGCCACUCAAGGUCUUCUCUGUGCCCCAUCUGGUGCAGGAGGCCUGUCUGUCUGUGAAAUUGCUUUUAGCAAUAGCUGUGGAUCACCACUGAGAGGGUGAAUAUACAAAUGAACAAUGGGCAGACCGUCUAUGAUGGCAAAACUUGGACCUCCAACCUUGAGGCCAAAGCACAUCAUGUGCGGCCUCUGGCGGGACUCAGGUCUGGGAAGCGACUGCAGCUUCCCUAUUUUCUAGCUCUGCUUCCAACUAAGAAAGUCAGAUAUUCUCCCCAAACCAACCCCAUAGGAUGCCCGCUGCCAGGUGGCCCACCCCCAGCUUCCCCCUGACAACAGCCUCCACCCAGGGCAUACCCAACCAGAGCCUUCCCAUCUUCUAAUGGGAAGCUUCCCCUCCCCACCCCACCUUCAAGGCUCUGCCACGCGCAGGGACAGUGUAGCCUUCUUGGCUACAGCUUCGAGUGAGCAGCCUCUGCCAUCCUCGCUGAUGUCCCCGGUUACCGUGAAGGCUCCUCCAGGACACUGUCUGCACUGCCUGUCGUCCAGACCCCACCUCUGCCCAGGCACCCUGGCCUUAAUGCUGCAGCCCACAGGGCACCCAGCUGGUGACUGAGGCCUGUUCUGAGCCCCUCGCUGGCACAUUCCUGGACUUCUCAGUUUGGUGCCAGGGCCUCAUUCCUGCUUCCCAUUUGCUCUGUUACAGGGGAAUUAGUCCCUUCCUUUACUCUUUUGUGCUGUGCUUUCUAAACGUGGUGUUUGUCAUAAUAAGAAGCAUGAGGGGCACAUGGAUCAGCCUCACAGACAGGUGAGUCUGUAGCUCUUACCAGACCCUUGUUCACAUCCAUGAACUUGGCUGUGGAUCACCAGGGAAACUGGGUGAGGUUCUGCCAUCCAGGGGUUUUGUCCUGAGAACUUGGCUUUUAGAACAUUCUCUCUGGUUUUUUGCUUGGGGGUGGGGGUCUGGUGCAGGGUGCUGGGUCUGUGUUUGGAGGAGGCCAGCCCGUAGGCUGGGGGCCUGAGACACUGUGCACUGGCGUGAUGCGUCUGCCGCCCAUCACCAGCUUGCAGGGGCAUCCACGGCUGAAUCCUCUGCUCUUCCAGGAAAGACUUAUGCUUCUCAUGGUCCUAGUUCUCAUGCUGAUCUUUCUACUUGGCAAAAUUCACCAAGGGUGACUUGGGUUUUUGGUGGCAACUCUGGGAACAUUUGGCUUGAAAAAUUGUUCAUUUAAGAGAUUCUUUAGAGAAGAAAAUGAGUAAGAUUCCCUAGGCCUAAAUGCAGAGGCCUCCAAAUGAAUUUCUGAAUAAAAAAGUAUUUCGCUAA